GCGUGUACCACCACACCUUGAGGUCACAGAGGUCAAUCUCUACCUUUGUCCCUAGAAGCGAUGGAGAAUGUGGUUGCGGCCCUCCACAGACAUGAACAUACAUGGUUCUCUUUGUGUCCCUUGAGAAUGCCACGAUGCCUGGUUGUCCUGCCAUUGGUGAUGAGAGCAUAGCCCCAGCAAGAGAGCCAAUCUGUCCCUGGAGGGAUCCAGAACUGUCAGUAGUGGAUGUCAUUGCCUGAUCGAGUUUGCCUCUGGAGUCCUCAGUCAGAUGACACGUCUGGAUGACAGCCUUUGUUUACAGGCCCGGUAGAUCCAAGAGAGACGACAAGACAAGUUUCUAUUCCUACCAGUAAAGGAAAGGCUGUCUCUCGCAGUCAUCUAGUUUGUAGCAGCAA